rnacentral:rRNA from 1 species
GACGAACGCUGGCGGCGUGCCUAAUACAUGCAAGUAGAACGCUGAAGCGAGGAGCUUGCUCUUCUUGGAUGAGUUGCGCACGGGUGAGUAACGCGUAGGUAACCUGCCUUGUAGCGGGGGAUAACUAUUGGAAACGAUAGCUAAUACCGCAUAACAAUGGAUGACACAUGUCAUUUAUUUGAAAGGGGCAAUUGCUCCACUACAAGAUGGACCUGCGUUGUAUUAGCUAGUAGGUGAGGUAACGGCUCACCUAGGCGACGAUACAUAGCCGACCUGAGAGGGUGAUCGGCCACACUGGGACGGAGACACGGCCCAGACGCCUACGGGAGGCAGCAGUAGGGAAUCUUCGGCAAGGGGGGCAACCCUGACCGAGCAACGCCGCGUGAGGGAAGAAGGUUGUCGGAUCGGAAAGCUCUGUUGUAAGUCAAGAACGAGUGUGAGAGUGGAAAGUUCACACUGUGACGGUAGCUGACCAGAAAGGGACGGCUAACUACGUG